ACAUUUAAUUGUAGACCUAGACAUAUAAAAAGUCUGCCUAAUUACAGCUUGUAGCCAGUAAAAUCAGCAAUCCAACCUCUAUUUCUAGCUAAACCUUGCUAAUUUUUUUAAGACAUUGCUACUGAGGAAAUUGGUGCAGAAGAAAUUCUGACUCAGACAAGUGAGAUGGGGAAAGCAAAGGUAUAGUAUAGAUUUUUAUUUCUUUUAAUAGAUUAGACAAUAAAGACUAACUGUUCAAGGUAUUUUCCUUGGAUCCAGAAGUGGAAUUACAUCAUUCUCUGAACGUUUGCUAGGGGAGAAGCUGGGCCAUGUUGAUGACACCAAAACAAUUUGAAAAAACUCUAUUUUUUCUUUGUACCUCCAAAGGUGUUUUGUAGUCACCAAAAGUCUCAGUUUUAGACCAUUGCUCCUUUUCUGAAGUAUAUUGACAGUUCAUAGUAUAAGUUGUCUUAGAUGAAAAUAUCAUUUCUAGCAUUGUUUGAAAUAGCAUUAUUUAUGAAUUAAGUAUUUAAACAUUUCUCACCUUGCCAAAUACAUUGUUGAGGAGUCAAAAGGUAGAAAUAUAGAGCCUAACCAGGAAGAUCAAGACCAAUUGUUUGACAGAAUUGGAGGUUUUGUGGCACAUUUUUCUUCUUGUUCCCAGGGAUGCUGAAGAUAUUUUUUUUCAGGUGUAAACUCAAGGAAAGGUGUAUGGAAGCAAUGGAAUGUUGAAAGCUUGAAGGCUGCCACAGUAAAUUAUACUAGUAAAGAUGCUACUGUUAAAAUGCAAGCUAGUGCACCUGCCAGUUCUACAGCAACCUUAGACUCUUGAGGCAAAAUUACUGUCAGGACAGCAAACACCUCUGUACUCUCUAAGUACUCUUCUAAAAUAAUGAAAUGGUUCACAUGUUUUUGGCUUUCAAUGCUUACAUGUCUCUGGUAAUAGAAAAACCUUCCUUUAUCUCUUCUGUUUGGACAAGAAGUCCAGUUAACCAUCUCUAUAUAAUAAAAGAUAGCAUUGUAUUUCCAAGAAUUACACCUAUAUUGGAAUCUCCUUGCUACAUCACAGCCUGUAUAUUAGCUCCACAUAAGUAAAAUCUGAACUAAUGGAACAUGCCAAAGAGCAUACAAUUAAAAAGGACUGAAUUCUUAAGCCAUACUUUGUCACAGUUAAAAGAAACAAAACCAAAGUGCACACAACUGAUUAGUUUAUAUCUGAGCUAGGGCAGGAGUGCCCUGAAAGAAGCAAACUGAAGCCCUCAAAGUAAACUUUCCAGUGUUGCACAGGACUGGGUUAUAUGGUCUCACCCUCUGUGGUAUUCAAAGGAGCCAAAAAAGCAGGGUGUAGGGAACUAAUGCCAGAUUCUUAAAAGCAUGUCAAUCCUUAAACCUAUUGUAGUGUAUGGAAAUUAGGUACUUAAUCCAUCUGAAAAUGUGAGUCAAAGAAUGGUUUGGGUUGGAAGGGACCUUAGGGAUCAUCUAAUUCCAACUCCCUGCCAUGGGCACCUGGGGGUUGAAACAUUGGUUUCACUAGAUCAGGUUGCUCCAAGCCCUGUCCAGCCUGGCCUUGAAUACUGCCAGGGAUGGGGUAGCCACAGCUUCUCUGGGCAAUAAAUAUACUUUCCUAAUCCAGUAAACUUUAAAGGCUUGGUUUCUCCCCCUUAAAUUUAUUUCUGAAUUAGGGGGUAUAGGUACCCUCAAAUCCAUCUUCUGUCAGUGAAAAGGGUAGACUAGGGAACCAUUUAUCCCUCAUGAGACCUAGAUUGCUCUGGUGAUUAGAGAGGAACCUAAAAGCUCUGGUGUAAUGAAAGUAGCUGGCUGACACACUGAGGUAAGAGCAGUUGUUCUAGGGCAUGGCUAAGUAUUGUUUCCUCUCUGAGUGGAUCCGUGUGAUACCCAGUGGAGGUGCUCUGCUUGUUUAAAAUGAUGUAGUGCUAUUUGGACUCGUGGAGA